AGUAUUUUAAAAAUGCCAAGGCCCUGGUGCUGUUGUAGGCGGUGGGAACGGCACCAUGUGUCUGACUAGUGGGGCCAGACCAAACCUGGGUUCAGCAACCUCGGUACUUGGGGUCUGGCUAGGAAAGAAUUCAAAGUCCAGACCCAUCGUAAGAGUACAUUUAUUUGGUAAAUUACAGAGGUAGAAGAAG